rnacentral:rRNA from 1 species
AUAGAUCAGAAGCGAGAAUGUUGACAUGAGUAGCGACAAAGAGGGUGAGAGACCCUCUCGCCGAAAGUCCAAGGGUUCCUGCUUAAAGCUAAUCUGAGCAGGGUAAGCCGGCCCCUAAGGCGAGGCCGAAAGGCGUAGUCGAUGGGAACCAGGUUAAUAUUCCUGGGCCAGUGGGAUGUGACGGAUCUCGAAGAUUGUCUGCCCUUAUCGGAUUGGGUGGGCCGUUCAGAGGUUCCUGGAAAUAGCCCCACAUCAGACCGUACCCUAAACCGACACAGGUGGACUGGUAGAGUAUACCAAGGCGCUUGAGAGAACCACGUUAAAGGAACUCGGCAAAAUGCUCCCGUAAGUUCGCGAGAAGGGAGCCCCAUAUGUACGCAAGUAUGUGUGGGGGGCACAAACUAGGGGGUGGCGACUGUUUACUUAAAACACAGGGCUGUGCGAAGCCGUAAGGCGACGUAUACAGUCUGACGCCUGCCCGGUGCUGGAAGAUUAAGAGGAGGGGUGCAAGCUCUGAAUUGAAGUCCCAGUAAACGGCGGCCGUAACUAUAACGGUCCUAAGGUAGCGAAAUUCCUUGUCGGGUAAGUUCCGACCUGCACGAAUGGCGUAACGAUCUCCCCGCUGUCUCUAACGUGGACUCAGCGAAAUUGAACUGUCUGUCAAGAUGCAGACUACCCGCGGUUAGACGGAAAGACCCCAUGGACCUUUACUCCAGCUUUGCACUGGUAUCAGGAUUGUGAUGUGCAGGAUAGGUGGUAGGCAUUGAAGCGGGGACGCCAGUCUUCGUGGAGCCUCCCUUGAGAUACCACCCUUCGCCAUCUUGAUAUCUAACCGCGGCCCGUUAUCCGGGUCCGGGACCCUGCAUGGUGGGGAGUUUGACUGGGGCGGUCGCCUCCCAAAUUGUAACGGAGGCGCGCGAUGGUUGGCUCAGACCGGUCGGAAAUCGGUCGUUGAGUGCAAUGGCAGAAGCCAGCCUGACUGCAAGACUGACAAGUCGAGCAGAGACGAAAGUCGGUCAUAGUGAUCCGGUGGUCCCAAGUGGGAGGGCCAUCGCUCAACGGAUAAAAGGUACUCUGGGGAUAACAGGCUGAUGAUGCCCAAGAGUCCAUAUCGACGGCAUCGUUUGGCACCUCGAUGUCGGCUCAUCUCAUCCUGGGGCUGGAGCAGGUCCCAAGGGUAUGGCUGUUCGCCAUUUAAAGAGGUACGUGAGCUGGGUUUAGAACGUCGUGAGACAGUUCGGUCCCUAUCUGCCGUGGGUGCAGGAGACUUGAGAAGAGUUGACCCUAGUACGAGAGGACCGGGUUGAACGAACCACUGGUGGACCAGUUAUCGUGCCAACGGUAGUGCUGGGUAGCUAUGUUCGGACAGGAUAACCGCUGAAGGCAUCUAAGCGGGAAGCCCCCUUCAAAACAAGGUCUCCCUUG